GUAUGGCAGCUCUUGGCGGGACCAACAUCUGUCUUCGUAGAGUGGAAGCCCCUACGAUCUACAGCUUGAUCAAAAGGCACGGGGUCACUCACAUGUGUGGCGCACCUGUGGUGCUAAACAUGCUAACAAACUCUCCCAACGCGGAACGCCUACAAAACCCAGUGCAAAUUUUAACCGGGGGAGCUCCACCUCCAUCCGCCGUGCUGUUCCGGGCAGAGUCACUUGGUUUUGUGGUGAGUCAUGGAUACGGUUUAACUGAAACAGCAGGGCUGGUCACUUCGUGUGCGUGGAAACCAAAGUGGAAUACAUUUCCAGCAAGUGAGAGAGCAAUACUAAAGUCAAGACAAGGAGUUCCGAUUGUUGGCUUCACCGAGAUGGGCGUUGUGGAUCCCAAUACAGGAAAGAGUGUGGAAAGAGAUGGGGUAUCACUUGGUGAAGUUGUUUUGAGAGGUGGGAGUGUAAUGUUAGGUUACUUUAAAGAUCCAUUAGGCACGUCGAUGUGCAUGAAAGAUGGUUGGUUUUACACGGGCGACGUGGGUGUUGUGCACUCAGAUGGAUAUUUAGAGGUCAAAGAUAGGUCCAAAGACGUGAUCAUUAGUGGUGGAGAGAAUAUUAGCAGCGUAGAGAUCGAGUCUGUGUUGUAUACACAUCCUGCUGUUAACGAGGCAGCUGUGGUGGCUAGGCCUGAUGAGUUUUGGGGCGAGACACCGUGCGCGUUUGUGAGUUUGAAAAAUGGUUUGCCUCACAAACCUGGUGAGAAAGAUAUAAUUGAUUAUUGCAGGGAAAAGAUGGCGCAUUAUAUGGUACCAAAAAUCGUGGUGUUCAAAGAUGAGCUUCCAAAGACAUCAACUGGGAAGAUUCAGAAGUAUUUGCUCAGAGAAUAUGCCAAGGUCGUGGAUUCUUCGAAGGUAAAAAUGGCAACCGGACAGGUCGGGAGUGGUUUUUAUCUGCCUCUACGUUCUCCUCGAUGGCUUCAAACACCCUUUAUUCCCGCUCCCAUCUCCACCUCCAUUUGCGUUCCCAUUCCCCGUUGUCGUCCCGUCUCUCUGUACAACUUCAGUCAAAGCACAUUUUUAGCCAAAACAAGAGGUUCUGAAAUAUUCAGUAUCUUUCAAAAGAACCAAGGAACAGUGCUCCAUCAGCCACAUCGUUUGGGCAACACUCAUGCUCGAUUCCUCUGAGCUUCAAGAAUAAUUCUUGAAACUUAAGAGGAAGUUGGCGCAACGGCCUUCCCAUCUGCUCCAAAUUGGUACUGUCCUAUAAAUUGCGCUAUGUCUUUUGUGUGAAAUCCUACAUUUUCCUCCGACGGACUUGUCAGUUAUUCCAUACCGAAACAGCUAUCAUGUCUCUUUCAAUCACCACGUACGACACGAUCUAGAGAUGGUAACGCUGUAUGUAAUAGCCUUUGUCCACACACGAUCAAGAACAGUUUCGUAUUUGUCUUCGACUAGCUUAAGUUCUUAAUUGGUCCAAGUUAAUCCUGUUGAUCUUCACCAUUCUCUUGCAACAUAAAUUGUCAUUUGAAAUUAAUAAAUUUGGUCAAGUUUUUAGCGUCUACGUUAAUUAAAGCAGAAGUCAUGCGCAUGACUUUGCAUUAAACCAAAAUAUUGAAUUGAUUGUGGGUAACACCUGCUCCAAUAAAUACAAAGUUAGCUAGUGGUCUGAAGAUCGAGCACCCUAUAAAUCUAAAUGAAGGUUAAAAGAACCAAGUAUACUUAUUUGGCCGUCAAACCAAAACAAUCAAUUUUUCAAAGUUUGAACUCGGAUUGAGUAGACACAGUUGAAUUUUGCAUUUACUGAAAGCAACAAUGUACAAUUAUCUUUGGCUCAAGUAGUUAUCAAACCCUUGAUAAAUGUUAAGAACUUGGAACAAGUUGGAAGAAAGCGAGAAAAUGACACUUUCAUAUUAAUUAAAAGAAGCUAAAUGGACAAGUUGGAAGAAAGCGAGAAAAUGAUACUUUCAUAUUAAUUAAAAGAAGAAUACCGUAGCUCAAGACUCAAAAACAUUGUUCACAAUUUUAUCUUUUCAUCUACAAAAUUUAACACCAGAUACUAAAAGCAUUGAUAACUUUUCACUUGGUAUAUUUGUUAUUAUUAAAUUGAUUAAAAAUAAAUAAAUUUUUUUUCAUUUUAAUUAUACGGUGAAACAAUCAAAAUAUCAUUGGAAAUAAAAAAAAAAUUAAAAUUGGUAUCAAUGGGUAUUUUUGUGUUUCCACAAUGAUUUUUUUGUUAUUAUAAUGUCAGAUGAGGAUCAAUUUGAUAUUUGAUCAAAUAUAUAAAAAAAAUAAUAAAAAAUUUAAAAGCAUAAUGAAAUGUGAAAAUUUCCCUUAAAAGAAAAAAAAAUUAAAAUUGGAAUCAAGGGGCUUUUUUUUCUUUUUACAAUGAUUUAUUUUUGUUAUUAUUAAGUCAUCUUAGGGGUAAUUUGAUAUUUAACUAUACAUAAAAAAAACAAAAAAGGUGAGGCGCGUGAAGCUCACUCUCUAACGUGUGAGAGGCGCUCCUCCACGUCUAAAAAUGAUGUUCUGUUGUGUUAUUGUAAGUGUCACCACAUCCUUUUCCUGGUAGAAUGACACGUGUUGAUGGUGAUGGUUUGAUUUGUCGCUAGUUGAUUCUUUUUUAUGUUUCUCCUCCCUAAAAAAUUAUAAUUUGGUCUUCUUUGUUGUAGGUUUUUCAACUUUCGUUCUUAUUUUUUUUAUUCAAAUUUUUACUUUUGACAGUUUUAUAGAAGUUUUGUUUAUUUUCAAUUUCAUCCUUCCAUCCCAAUUUGCUCUAUAUUUAUUUUUUAAUUUGAUCCUCAUUCUUUUGAUUAAAUUUUUAGGCCUUUUAUUGAAUUAAUUUUUAUAUUCACCCUUCCAUAUACAAUUUUUUAUUUCAAUUUUGAUCCUCAUUCUUUUAAUUUUCUUAGUCCUUUUAUUCAAAAUGUUUUUUCAAUUUCACACUUCAAUCAAAAAUAAAAUUUAUUUUGUAUGUCAAUUUGACCCUCAUUCUUUUAACUAUCAUUUUUUUUUAUUUUGAAUUCUUUUGUGUAAUUGAUAUUCUUUUUCUAAGUUAAUCUUUCAACAUUUAAUUGGUUGGGAAUUGAGUUUCAUGUUUUUUUUCUAGAUAGGGUAUUUCCAAUCUAAUGCCCAGGGUUAAGGGUUUGAAAAGUUAUAAUUAUCUUUAUUUUUUUAUCAAGUUAUUCUAAUCUCAUGUUAACUCGGGUAAAUAAAAACCAAAUUUUUUUAUGUCCUAUAUUUAUCUUAAUUUAUUCUUCUAUAUUUAAUGAGUUGUAAAUUGAGAUACAUUAUUUUUUCUUUUUUCUAAGAAUAUAUUUUUACCAUGGUAUCUUAAUCACUUUUUUUUUUUUAAUUUGAUCCAUGCACUAUUGUUUUCUUUUAUAUAUAUAAUUGCUAGCAAUUACUAAAAAUAAUUAUUGAAUUAUAUCCUCUAAUAAUUGUUGUUGAUUAUGCUAAUUCUGCUGUUCUGCUAUUGCGUCUCUUCCUGUUAUUUUAUCCUUGUUACCAUUUUUAUUAAUUGUGAAACUUAGUGCUCUCGGCCAUUCAAGAAAUAUGGCUCUAAUACAAAUUGUAAUGGUUCUGGAUCGUUGUUUUAAAAUGAGAAUUAACUAAUCAAAAAAAGAAUUGUUGAAGUGUCUUUUUUGGAAUCUAAAUUAAAAAACUGAAAUAAUUGAAAUAGAAAAUUGAAGAACAGGAUUGUAAGUGGACAAUUGAGGUAAUAAAUGUUAACUAAAUUUCUAACAGAUUCAAGGUGACCCGAGCCUCCUUAGAUGAAUGUGAUUUCCUUCAAAGUAAUUUCUUGCAUCUCCUGCUCAUCCUCCCCUUCUAUUUAUUAACUAAAUCUUAGAAUUUGAAUUUGAAAUUCAAGAAGAAAACUGCCUGGGUAGAGUCUUGUGUUGAUUUGUAUGUUGAUGACUUUUCUUAUAUAAAUGACAUCAUAGUUGGAAACAAAAUGUCCUUGUCACGUGUCAACUAGUGAUCGGAGAGCCUCUUCCAGCCUACCACGUAAGUUUCCCGAUACAUCGCAACCAUACACGUGCUAAUCUCCUUAAUUUCUUGCAGGUUCUCUUGUGUCCCUGUUACUUCUUCAUUUCAAAGCAACCACCACCGGGCCCCUGCUCGACCACUACACGAAUCGGGUAAGUUAUAAUUUUCCAUCGUUGAAUGCAAUGCCAUACCACUUGACUUAAAUUGUCGACGGUUUGCAAUAAUAUCCCCUAGCCCUGAGCUAACCUUCUAUUUAGUGACCCUGAGCUAACCUUCUAUUUAGUGACUGUUAUUUAUCUAGCAUUCUAACAAACUACUAGCUAGCCAAGACCAAGAUGGAAGAACUAAAGCCAAUGCCACCAAGCUCAUGCCCCUUUACACCCAUAGGCUUCCUGGAAAGAGCUGCCACUGUUUAUGGUGAUUGCCCAUCCAUCAUCUACAACAACACCACUUACACCUGGUCUCAAACCUACCGUCGAUGUCUCAAGGUUGCAUCUUCGCUAUCAUCCAAUGUCAUCAAGCCAGGUCAAGUGGUUUCCGUUGUGGCCCCUAACGUUCCUGCCAUGUAUGAGCUUCAAUUUGCCGUGCCCAUGUCUGGUGCCAUCCUCAACAACAUCAACACCCGUCUUGACGCUCGGACCAUUUCCAUACUCCUGCGUCACAGUGAGUCAAAGCUCGUCUUCGUUGAUUAUUUGUCGCUUCGUGUUAUUCUUGAAGCCCUCUCUUUGUUUCCACCUGAGACUCCAUGCCCUGCCCUCGUCCUCAUUACGGAUGAUGAGGAAGAAGUACCGCCACCACCAUCACUUUCCGAAGACUUUUGUACUUACGAAAGCAUGGUGGAGAAAGGAGAUCCUGAGUUCAAGUGGGUCCAGCCACAAAGUGAGUGGGACCCGGUGGUUUUAAACUACACAUCUGGUACUACCUCAGCUCCUAAAGGUGUGGUACAAUCCCACAGAGGAACUUUCACCAUAACCAUUGGAUCCUUGAUUGAUUGGAGCCUACCAAAACAAGCAGUGUAUCUGUGGACCCUGCCGAUAUUUCACGCCAAUGGGUGGAGUUAUCCAUGGGGUAUGGCAGCUGUUGGCGGGACCAACAUCUGUCUUCGUAGAGUGGAAGCCCCUACGAUCUACAGCUUGAUCAAAAGGCACGGGGUCACUCACAUGUGUGGCGCACCUGUGGUGCUAAACAUGCUAACAAACUCUCCCAACGCGGAACGCCUACAAAACCCAGUGCAAAUUUUAACCGCGGGAGCUCCACCUCCAUCCGCCGUGCUGUUCCGGGCAGAGUCACUUGGUUUUGUGGUGAGUCAUGGAUACGGUUUAACUGAAACAGCAGGGCUGGUCACUUCGUGUGCGUGGAAACCAAAGUGGAAUACAUUUCCAGCAAGUGAGAGA
rnacentral:lncRNA from 1 species